GUCAUUAGUCAGACCAGACACCAGAGACGAGGCUUCUGUGUGUGACCAAGCAAGUUCAAGUAUGGUGGCUCAUGGCUGUACUAUUUUAAAUGACGAAAGUACCCAUCGCCUUCUAUUAAACACAUGGAAGUUCUGGGUAAAAUUUAGUAAUUUUCUCGAGGAUAGUGUUGUCAAGCUAUAUAUUAUGGUACCAAAGUCCUAUUCCGCGUAAAAUUGGCUCCUACAUUACAAUCUCCAUUAAUAAAAAUCUCUGUGUCUCUGUCUCUCUGAAAUCAAGAAAUAAGUUUGACAAGUAAAGAGAAGAAUGGGAGAUAAUGAAUCAGGAGGUUGCAAGCCAAUUGGUUUCCUGAUAGGGCUACCCUUUGCUUUUCUUGCUCUCAUUUUAUCUGUUGUUGGUGCUGUUGUUUGGAUCCUCGGGACUGUGCUGAGUUGUUUGUGCCCUUGCUGCUUUUGUUGCGGCGGACUUGCAAAAUUGGCAGUGAGCAUUAUAAAGCUUCCAAUUAAAAUCAUCAGAUGGUUCAUUGACAAGUUUCCUUGCUGAUUUUCAGUGCUACUCUGUAUGAAUUCAUAUCUAAAUGCCUUUGCACAGGCGCGCACGCGCGCACACACACACAUAUAGAUAUAUAUAUGCAACAUCCAUUCAUUAUUAUUUUAGUCAGUAUGUAAUUGCAAGUGUUAUGGUUAUUCAUUUUUCCAAAAUUCUUGUGAUUUUCUUGUUGAAUUACUAGCAAAGGCUUCAUGCUUUUUGAGCUUUAUGAUGUAUUCCCUUUUCUUUUCAAUGUAUCUUUGGAAUUUAAUUUAAAA